rnacentral:rRNA from 1 species
GGGUUGUGAGGUUAAGCGACUAAGCGUACACGGUGGAUGCCCUGGCAGUCAGAGGCGAUGAAGGGCGUGCUAAUCUGCGAUAAGCGCCGGUAAGGUGAUAUGAACCGUUAUAACCGGCGAUACCCGAAUGGGGAAACCCAGUGUGACUCGUCACACUAUCAUUAACUGAAUCCAUAGGUUAAUGAGGCGAACCGGGGGAACUGAAACAUCUAAGUACCCCGAGGAAAAGAAAUCAACCGAGAUUCCCCCAGUAGCGGCGAGCGAACGGGGAGGAGCCCAGAGCCUGAAUCAGCAUGUGUGUUAGUGGAAGCGUCUGGAAAGGCGCGCGAUACAGGGUGACAGCCCCGUACACAAAAGCGCAUGUGCUGUGAGCUCGAUGAGUAGGGCGGGACACGUGGUAUCCUGUCUGAAUAUGGGGGGACCAUCCUCCAAGGCUAAAUACUCCUGACUGACCGAUAGUGAACCAGUACCGUGAGGGAAAGGCGAAAAGAACCCCGGCGAGGGGAGUGAAAAAGAACCUGAAACCGUGUACGUACAAGCAGUGGGAGCACCCUUCGGGGUGUGACUGCGUACCUUUUGUAUAAUGGGUCAGCGACUUAUAUUCUGUAGCAAGGUUAACCGUAUAGGGGAGCCGUAGGGAAACCGAGUCUUAACCGGGCGUUAAGUUGCAGGGUAUAGACCCGAAACCCGGUGAUCUAGCCAUGGGCAGGUUGAAGGUUGGGUAACACUAACUGGAGGACCGAACCGACUAAUGUUGAAAAAUUAGCGGAUGACCUGUGGCUGGGGGUGAAAGGCCAAUCAAACCGGGAGAUAGCUGGUUCUCCCCGAAAGCUAUUUAGGUAGCGCCUCGUGAAUUCAUCUCCGGGGGUAGAGCACUGUUUCGGCUAGGGGGCCAUCCCGGCUUACCAACCCGAUGCAAACUGCGAAUACCGGAGAAUGUUAUCACGGGAGACACACGGCGGGUGCUAACGUCCGUCGUGAAGAGGGAAACAACCCAGACCGCCAGCUAAGGUCCCAAAGUCAUGGUUAAGUGGGAAACGAUGUGGGAAGGCCCAGACAGCCAGGAUGUUGGCUUAGAAGCAGCCAUCAUUUAAAGAAAGCGUAAUAGCUCACUGGUCGAGUCGGCCUGCGCGGAAGAUGUAACGGGGCUAAACCAUGCACCGAAGCUGCGGCAGCGAACGUAUCACUUAAAGCGAUUCAGCGGGUUACGAUUGACGGAGCGAAGCGACGUCAAAGCGUAUACAAAGUCGAGUCGGUUUAAGGAUACGUUCGUUGGGUAGGGGAGCGUUCUGUAAGCCUGUGAAGGUGUGUCGUGAGGCAUGCUGGAGGUAUCAGAAGUGCGAAUGCUGACAUAAGUAACGAUAAAGCGGGUGAAAAGCCCGCUCGCCGGAAGACCAAGGGUUCCUGUCCAACGUUAAUCGGGGCAGGGUGAGUCGACCCCUAAGGCGAGGCCGAAAGGCGUAGUCGAUGGGAAACAGGUUAAUAUUCCUGUACUUGGUGUUACUGCGAAGGGGGGACGGAGAAGGCUAUGUUGGCCGGGCGACGGUUGUCCCGGUUUAAGCGUGUAGGUGUGUGUUCCAGGUAAAUCCGGUUCACUUUAACACUGAGGCGUGAUGACGAGGCACUACGGUGCUGAAGCAACAAAUGCCCUGCUUCCAGGAAAAGCCUCUAAGCAUCAGGUAACAUCAAAUCGUACCCCAAACCGACACAGGUGGUCAGGUAGAGAAUACCAAGGCGCUUGAGAGAACUCGGGUGAAGGAACUAGGCAAAAUGGUGCCGUAACUUCGGGAGAAGGCACGCUGACACGUAGGUGAAGUGAUUUACUCAUGGAGCUGAAGUCAGUCGAAGAUACCAGCUGGCUGCAACUGUUUAUUAAAAACACAGCACUGUGCAAACACGAAAGUGGACGUAUACGGUGUGACGCCUGCCCGGUGCCGGAAGGUUAAUUGAUGGGGUCAGCGCAAGCGAAGCUCCUGAUCGAAGCCCCGGUAAACGGCGGCCGUAACUAUAACGGUCCUAAGGUAGCGAAAUUCCUUGUCGGGUAAGUUCCGACCUGCACGAAUGGCGUAAUGAUGGCCAGGCUGUCUCCACCCGAGACUCAGUGAAAUUGAACUCGCUGUGAAGAUGCAGUGUACCCGCGGCAAGACGGAAAGACCCCGUGAACCUUUACUAUAGCUUGACACUGAACAUUGAGCCUUGAUGUGUAGGAUAGGUGGGAGGCUUUGAAGUGUGGACGCCAGUCUGCAUGGAGCCGACCUUGAAAUACCACCCUUUAAUGUUUGAUGUUCUAACGUGGACCCGUAAUCCGGGUUGCGGACAGUGUCUGGUGGGUAGUUUGACUGGGGCGGUCUCCUCCUAAAGAGUAACGGAGGAGCACGAAGGUUGGCUAAUCCUGGUCGGACAUCAGGAGGUUAGUGCAAUGGCAUAAGCCAGCUUGACUGCGAGCGUGACGGCGCGAGCAGGUGCGAAAGCAGGUCAUAGUGAUCCGGUGGUUCUGAAUGGAAGGGCCAUCGCUCAACGGAUAAAAGGUACUCCGGGGAUAACAGGCUGAUACCGCCCAAGAGUUCAUAUCGACGGCGGUGUUUGGCACCUCGAUGUCGGCUCAUCACAUCCUGGGGCUGAAGUAGGUCCCAAGGGUAUGGCUGUUCGCCAUUUAAAGUGGUACGCGAGCUGGGUUUAGAACGUCGUGAGACAGUUCGGUCCCUAUCUGCCGUGGGCGCUGGAGAACUGAGGGGGGCUGCUCCUAGUACGAGAGGACCGGAGUGGACGCAUCACUGGUGUUCGGGUUGUCAUGCCAAUGGCACUGCCCGGUAGCUAAAUGCGGAAGAGAUAAGUGCUGAAAGCAUCUAAGCACGAAACUUGCCCCGAGAUGAGUUCUCCCUGAGACUUUAGGUCUCCUGAAGGAACGUUGAAGACGACGACGUUGAUAGGCCGGGUGUGUAAGCGCAGCGAUGCGUUGAGCUAACCGGUACUAAUGAACCGUGAGGCUUAACCUUACAACGCCGAAG